UCUCUAUUCUCACAGCAGUUUAGAGUUGUAAAUAUUUGAAUUGUUUAAAAACUGAUACAUUAGUAUUGGGUUAUUUUAAUUUCUAUUACUCUUAUAGAUUAAAUGGCUGGGAGUCUUAAAAACAUUUUCUUGGCUAUUGGGAUAUACUUUUCUCUACUGAGAAUGUUUAUUCUUUGUCUAUGAUUCUAUUAGGUUUUUUUUUUUGUUCCUAUUUAU
rnacentral:lncRNA from 1 species